UUUCGCCGCAGUUCGCACUUCGCUUCGGUCGUCUGGGGUUCCUCUCUGGCUCUCUCUGCAAUUGCCGAAAAUUGCCUUGCCUGCCGUUUCUAUUUCCUUCUCCAAACUCCAAUUUGAUCCAUAGCAAUCAGCAAAAAAGAAGCAUCGAGGUCUGAAGCUUGAAGUUUUUCCCCCUGCUGCUGCGAUUCCAAGCCAAAAAAACUCUGGAAUUCAAGCUUAUACCAGCCCUGCUUUUCUGUUCAUUUGUUUCUUGAAGCGACGUCCCGACAAUCCCAUCUCGUUCACACCAUCUUCAUCAGCUUUUCUCGAAACCAACUCUGUCUCAGUGAUUCAUAUAAUGGUCUUGGAUGAUGAUGAUGACUUGUCAAGGUGGCUUUUUUUGAAGCUUUGUUGUCCCAGAAUUAUGAAGAAGAUUAUAGAAGCUUCAGAAAUUGGACUCGUUUGGAUCUUUUGA